UACGUAGGGUGCGAGCGUUAAUCGGAAUUACUGGGCGUGAAGCGUGCGCAGGCGGCGCGUUAAGACAGGUGUGAAAGCCCCGAGCUUAACUUGGGAAUUGCGCUUGUGACUGGCGUGCUGGAGUGUGGCAGAGGGAGGUGGAAUUCCACGUGUAGCAGUGAAAUGCGUAGAGAUGUGGAGGAACACCGAUGGCGAAGGCAGCCUCCUGGGCCAGCACUGACGCUCAUGCACGAAAGCGUGGGGAGCAAACAGG
rnacentral:rRNA from 1 species